UCUGGCCCUGGGUUUGACUCGAUGCCAGCCCUGAGCAGAAGGGUGCGGAGAAGGUGUAGCCCUAGGAUCGAGCAACGUUUGAUAGAUUUCGCCGACCUAAACGGGGUUAGAUCGCCGAAACAACAGCCCUUGUUCGGGUAAAA